UUGUAAGCCUUAGAGAAAGAAUGGAGGAAAUGAGGGGGAAAAUAGAAGCCCUGGGGUCCUGACUCUGAGGGAAGUGUUGAAAGAGCCUCAUAGAGAUGUAGUAGAAAGUGGCCCAGGGAAACAGUAUCAAGCUUUAGGACACUGCAGACCAGGGCUGGUGGCUGCUGUAGGAUCCCUGUGCUGGAACCUGGAGUAGGGAGCAGGCCUGGGUUCCCCUACCAACCACUGGGGAAGUGGCACAGUCCAGGCAGCAGCACAGAAGACUACCUAGGACAGUCAUCCAGUGGGACUUCGGUACCUCGGGAGAGGAGGACUAUUGUGAUCUGGCUGGAAGACUAAGCCAUGGAGAGAGAGCACCUUGAGUUGCAGAGAGAGAGAGGCAGUGGGUGUGUGAAUGAGUGGCAGAAGGGGGCAUUGGACCUGGAAGGAGUUAAUUCCCAGAGCAGACAGGAGGAGGCUCCCUAAUGACUCCAUCUGAGGCACAUAGGCUGGGCAUGCUGAAAUACUACAACCAGCUGAGUCUGCAAAGCUAGACUGAACAUUUCACAAGAAAGUUAUCCGUGGAUCCCUUCUCUAUCACUGGAGAGAUAUCCUGUUGGUUCAGCUGGUGAAUGGUUCAGCAUUAUCUUGUUGGCUCUUCUGAUGGACCCUGUUGUCUUAGUCACUGGAGCAGAGGGGAACCAGGGGUAUUGAUAAGAAGCCCACGCAUUUCUACAAAGAAGGCUGCACAUAUGUGUGACCUCUUCUGCAUCUGAAAGGCUGCCUAGUGACAAGCCAUGUGAUGGGAGAGGAAGAGUCCAGUUUUGCAAAAGCCUGAAGUAGUGCAACAUAUGCAACAAGUGAAAGCAGUCACCGUCUGUGAUGGGGCCCUGUUCACGACCUCUGAGAGGUACCUGAAAACAUUGGUUGAAUGGAGUGCAAUGCUCCUACUUCUCAAUUGUAGAAAACAGAAUACUUCAACUUUUAUGGCCGUGGGGAUGCUAAUAAUGCAACAAUUGUAAGACUUCAGAUGCUCAAACACUGAAAAGCCUAAAAAUGCCCCAGAGCUUCUGAACAACUCUGCAGCAAACUAAAUACAGAAACAGCUUUUCAUAAGAUAACAAUGAAACCUUCCUCAUGCUCUCAUUGCUCCUAACACAGAAAGAAGUGAGAGUUUACAGUGGCAGGAUGAGGUGAGCAAGAGUGUUCCUACUUCAAAAGUUACAGAAGCAAACCGGCAUCACUCAGGCUGUCAUUUUCAUGAGUGCUGAGCACUCACUUCCUACUGGUUUCAGCACCCAAAUGCCCCUUCAACUCUGGUGAAAACCUGGCUUUGAUCACACUCAAAACUAGAUCAG